rnacentral:rRNA from 1 species
GACGAACGCUGGCGGCGUGCUUAACACAUGCAAGUCGAACGGAAAGGCCCUGCUUGCAGGGUACUCGAGUGGCGAACGGGUGAGUGACACGUGGGUGAUCUGCCCUGCACUUCGGGAUAAGCUUGGGAAACUGGGUCUAAUACCGGAUAGGAGCCAUCUUUAGUGUGGUGGUUGGAAAGUUUUUUCGGUGUAGGAUGAGCUCGCGGCCUAUCAGCUUGUUGGUGGGGUAAUGGCCUACCAAGGCGGCGACGGGUAGCCGGCCUGAGAGGGUGUACGGCCACAUUGGGACUGAGAUACGGCCCAGACUCCUACGGGAGGCAGCAGUGGGGAAUAUUGCACAAUGGGCGCAAGCCUGAUGCAGCGACGCCGCGUGGGGGAUGAAGGCCUUCGGGUUGUAAACUCCUUUCGCUAGGGACGAAGCUUUUUUGUGACGGUACCUAGAUAAGAAGCACCGGCUAACUACGUG